rnacentral:tRNA from 1 species
GGGGUUGUGGCUCAGUGGUAGAGCACUUGCCUAGAAUAUAUGAGGCACUGGGUUCUAUCCUCAACACCA